rnacentral:tRNA from 2 species
GGCUCCGUAGCUCAGGGGAUAGAGCGGCCGCCUCCUAAGCGGCAGGUCGAUGGUUCGAAUCCAUCCGGGGUCA